GGAGUAUCCCCAAAGCAUGUCUUUUGACAGAUCUUGUGCUGUUGUAUUUAGCAGGUGUGUGCCCAAUCAAGAAGUUUUAUAUUAGUCAUUAGUAUCUUGAACACUAUUGCCUAUCCCCCAUUUCAGUUUCCUUAACUGGGUCUAAAAUAGCUUUGGUCCUAUUCCCUUAUUUCCUGAAUAAGAAAAGGGAUCUUGUUGUUCUUUUUAAAGAAAAAAAAAAAGUUAUAGCAUGACUAAACCAAGACUUCUUCUUGCUGUCAGUCAUUUGCUCCUGUCUCUGUGGCAGGAACACUUAGGCUCAGCACCUCAGAACUGUUGUCCAGGGUACCAGAGCUAGGAGGCAACUCGGGUAGUGUUAGUUGAGGGAGAGCAGUGCCUAAAGAAAAAAGGAGACCUUUGGUAAAGCCCAAGGCUGGGAUGGGGUUACUGUUUCAUAAGUUCAACAAACAUUUGAGCUCCUGUUAUAUGCCAGAUGUUGAAUUAAGUACUGGAGACACUGGGAUGAACAAGCCAGACAUGCCUUCAGGAUGCCCUUGGUAGAGUCUGAUUUUGAGUUUGUUAGAAAAAGAUUUAUCAUAGAUCAAAAACUAGAUGCUGAAUGGCCUUGGGAGUUAAGGUGGAGUUGUAGGUUGGCACUCAACAUUUCUGGAAGGAGUGACUUUUCUGUAAGUAAAAGACAGUUUACAAAUGGCAGUGGGUAGAGACUGCUAGCUGGUCCCCAAACCUACUUCCUCUUCCUAGGCAUUUCCGAGCAUCCCUUGCAUUAGGUGUGGCUUUGUGGCCCAAUUCUCUUCAGUGGAGUGAGAGCAGAGAAGUGUGCCACUUCCAGGCCUAUUUCCAGAGUCUUUGUGCACAGGUUUGUGCCUUUUUCUCAUCUGGCUCAGUGCAGAGGAGUCAUGGAUCUAGAAAGUCCCCUAGCAACUCAGAUGCCAGAGCCACUGCUUAGAGGAGAGCUGUCUGCUGAUUGGGGACAUCUGUUUUGGACUUCACACAGGCUAG
rnacentral:lncRNA from 1 species